rnacentral:sRNA from 1 species
AGGCAAUCCAAGCCUGCAUUAAUGCCAACUUUUAGCGCACGGCUCUCUCCCAAGAGCCAUUACCCUAGACCUGAUACAGGAAUCGUAUCAGGUCUCUUUUU